rnacentral:rRNA from 1 species
AUCAGGACGCUAUGAUGCAGUCGAGCGGACCGACGGGAGCUUGCUCCCUUAGGUCAGCGGCGGACGGGUGAGUAACACGUGGGUAACCUGCCUGUAAGACUGGGAUAACUCCGGGAAACCGGGGCUAAUACCGGAUGCUUGAUUGAACCGCAUGGUUCAAUCAUAAAAGGUGGCUUUUAGCUACCACUUACAGAUGGACCCGCGGCGCAUUAGCUAGUUGGUGAGGUAACGGCUCACCAAGGCGACGAUGCGUAGCCGACCUGAGAGGGUGAUCGGCCACACUGGGACUGAGACACGGCCCAGACUCCUACGGGAGGCAGCAGUAGGGAAUCUUCCGCAAUGGACGAAAGUCUGACGGAGCAACGCCGCGUGAGUGAUGAAGGUUUUCGGAUCGUAAAACUCUGUUGUUAGGGAAGAACAAGUACCGUUCGAAUAGGGCGGCACCUUGACGGUACCUAACCAGAAAGCCACGGCUAACUACGUGCCAGCAGCCGCGGUAAUACGUAGGUGGCAAGCGUUGUCCGGAAUUAUUGGGCGUAAAGCGCGCGCAGGCGGUUUCUUAAGUCUGAUGUGAAAGCCCCCGGCUCAACCGGGGAGGGUCAUUGGAAACUGGGGAACUUGAGUGCAGAAGAGGAGAGUGGAAUUCCACGUGUAGCGGUGAAAUGCGUAGAGAUGUGGAGGAACACCAGUGGCGAAGGCGACUCUCUGGUCUGUAACUGACGCUGAGGCGCGAAAGCGUGGGGAGCGAACAGGAUUAGAUACCCUGGUAGUCCACGCCGUAAACGAUGAGUGCUAAGUGUUAGAGGGUUUCCGCCCUUUAGUGCUGCAGCAAACGCAUUAAGCACUCCGCCUGGGGAGUACGGUCGCAAGACUGAAACUCAAGGAAUUGACGGGGCCCGCACAAGCGGUGGAGCAUGUGGUUAAUUCGAAGCAACGCGAAGAAGCUUACCAGUCUUGACAUCCUCUGACAACUCUAGAGAUAGGGCUUCCCCUUCGGGGGCAAAUUGACAGGUGGUGCAUGGGUGUCGUCAGCUCGUGU